UACGUAGGUGGCAAGCGUUAUCCGGAAUUAUUGGGCGUAAAGCGCACGCAGGUGGCUUCUUAAGUCUGACGUGAAAGCUCCUGGCUUAACCGGGAGAGGUCGUUGGCAACUGGGAGGCUUGAGGCAAGGAGAGGGGCGUAGAAUUCCCGGUGUAGUGGUGGAAUGCGUAGAUAUCGGGGGGAAUACCAGAGGCGCAAGCGGCGCCCUGGCCUUGGCCUGACGCUCAGGUGCGAAAGCGUGGGGAGCGAACAGG
rnacentral:rRNA from 1 species